ensembl:lncRNA
GUAUCCAUACCCCUGCAGACAGUGUAAGGUUAUGCCCAUGGAAAGUGCCUUUGCUGCCGAGCAUGUGAGGGCACCAGUGAAGGAAUAGCAGAUUUUUGGAGUGAUUAAAUUAAGAGAAAAAGAUCAAAUAAUCACCAGUCAAAGCAAAAAGAUGUAUUUUAAAUAGUUACAGUUUAAGUGUUCUCAGGUACUGUAUAAGCUUUGUCUCAGAUGUUUUUUUUUUUGUUUUGUUUUUUAAUUCUCUGGAAAACUAAGCCAAUGAGACUAAACUGAGACAAUUAUUUGGGUAUAGUAAGAGUAUAGAUCUUUAAAAAAUAAUGCAAAUGGGAGCUCAAAUAACUCGCUCUUAAAACAAUUUGAUUUAAAUUUAAAAAAAUAUUUAUUAUAAAAUAUUUGACUUUUUACUCCAGACUUUGAUAUAUCAUCAGAGGAGAUUUAAUUAAGGAUGAAAGGGACAAAAAGAUCAGAAAUAUCCCAACUCGCAUUUGGGCAAUUUUCCCUAAACAAAUUAGGGUGCCUUGUACAAACUAUAGAUCACUCCAUUCUGAAUUCUGAAAAUACAACUGAACCCACUUCUCUGAAAUGUUUAUCGGUAAUGUAACAAUGAUGCCAUAUGUUGGGAUGACAAAAGUUUUUCCCAACGUGGUUGUAUUAGGGCAGUGGACAUUUCAAGACAAUGAAAAUACACACAGUGCAAAGACAGAACUAGAACUGGACUGAUCAGAGGUACAUGAUAAAUAUAAGACAGACCAGAGCUGGUUGUAACUAGACUGAGUAGAUGACUUUAUUCCAUGGAAACCAUAACAUACUGCCCUAUAAAUUCAGAAUGCACAUAUACCCACCCUUGAGCACACAUCACUCACAUGAGUGACCAAACCCGCUGCACAGAGGAAGAGGCAGGAAGUUCCUUCUUUCACUUCCAGUCAUGCUGCAUUGGGCAGCUUGUGGUGGAACAGAAGGUCUCUGCAUGGUGGGCAGUGUGGGCGGACUUCGGGAUUCACCGUGAUAAAAACAACAACGAGCCAAGGACACU